rnacentral:rRNA from 1 species
GCACCGAAGCUGCGGCAGCGACGCUUAUGCGUUGUUGGGUAGGGGAGCGUUCUGUAAGCCUGUGAAGGUGUACUGUGAGGUAUGCUGGAGGUAUCAGAAGUGCGAAUGCUGACAUAAGUAACGAUAAAGCGGGUGAAAAGCCCGCUCGCCGGAAGACCAAGGGUUCCUGUCCAACGUUAAUCGGGGCAGGGUGAGUCGACCCCUAAGGCGAGGCCGAAAGGCGUAGUCGAUGGGAAACAGGUUAAUAUUCCUGUACUUGGUGUUACUGCGAAGGGGGGACGGAGAAGGCUAUGUUGGCCGGGCGACGGUUGUCCCGGUUUAAGCGUGUAGGCUGGUUUUCCAGGCAAAUCCGGAAAAUCAAGGCUGAGGCGUGAUGACGAGGCACUACGGUGCUGAAGCAACAAAUGCCCUGCUUCCAGGAAAAGCCUCUAAGCAUCAGGUAACAUCAAAUCGUACCCCAAACCGACACAGGUGGUCAGGUAGAGAAUACCAAGGCGCUUGAGAGAACUCGGGUGAAGGAACUAGGCAAAAUGGUGCCGUAACU